rnacentral:lncRNA from 1 species
AGUGUCCCUUGCGUCCUUGGCCUUCCCUCGGCACCUCCGUCCAUGUUCAGAGUUUUCAGAAGAAUUUGUUAGGUCUGUAAUCUGAUUCUGGGGAAGGUGAGCUGAUUUGUAUUUAAUUCCUGAUUAUCAUCCAGGGUUUAUGUGACUUUGGACAUGAAUGUCACCUCUGAGCCUGCUGUCGUGAACCCCACUCAUCACAGUGGCUGUGGGGGUCAGUGGUGCCCAGGACAUGGGAGGCUCAGCCAUGGUGAAUUUCCAGACCAGUUCAGACAGGAGGGUGGGGACGGGAGAGGAUCCUGGUGCUGGGCUCCACAGUCCAGGAGGAUGAUUGACGCCCCCACUCAAGAGCCCACAUCGGCUCCAAAUACCAUGAAAUUCUCCUUGUGAUACAUCUGAAAUAUGCAGAUCAUCACAGCCACGGGCACAGAAAGAGGAAGAACAGUUCCUCACAUUGAGACGCAUCCCCUUCCAUGAGCAGAGUUCAAUGCUGAGUGGCCACAGGUGUCUGGGACCACCCAGGGUCAUUAGGGAGGAGGAGGCUCCCACCUCCGUGUGGGACAGAAGAGGAACCCCACGUCCUCCCAGGCAGGGAGGGGUCAGGGCUCUGGGUGACGCUGGAAGCUGUGGCUCCCCCUCCCCUGUGUGUGUGGACAGGCGCUGGGGGGUCUCUGCUCACUCACUGGAGGCCAUGGUCAGUGCUCAGCCCCUCCCCUGUGUGUGAGAAACAGAUUCAAUCCACGGUGGUCUGACAUGGGCGUCUGCUCUGCCCCACAGGUUUUCUCACUGGGAAAUGCUGGAGCCGUUUUUCUGAGCUGAACUUUCCCAUCUGGAAUCUGUCUGGUUGGUGGUGCCCUGACCCCACCUUCAGUCAGCCCAUGGGUCUCCCCGCCAACUUCCUACUCACCCAAUGUCCUGUGUUGGCCCUGAGGCCAGUGUCAGAGGAGAAAGAAGAGGAGGAAGAGCACCAGCUGAAGGCCACUGAGACCCCGAUCACAACCCCCAGGUGCUUUCCCAGACCCUGAGGUAGGACUGUGAAGGUGUACUGAUGCCCUUGCCAAAUGAAAGGAAACUGUUCCUGAUGGUUCUUAUUAACAGUGAUGGAGAAAAAAAUAUUUAACACAUCAAUGGCUGAAUACUGGGUAUCAGGGGAUGUAUUAAUUUGCUCAAACUACAAAACCACAUCUGUUACAACAUCUUCAAUUGGAUCUGAUUAAGCUUACAAUAAUCUAAUAUCAUUAUCCAAGAUCCCUGCGUCUUCUGUGGAGGUAAAAUAGGAGAGGUGAAUGGCAAGGUUGUGGGAAUCACUGUCUCUGCACGCUUCAAGUCCCAAUAUAUGGAAUUCCUCCAGGAAUGCAAGACUGCUUUUGGUUUACAGUUUAGCUGGGAAGAGGCAGUUCUAGUGGCUCCCACUGGGCCCACUCUAAUAACCCUCACUCAACAAGUGAGGGAACCACUGUGGGGGUUGUGAUAGUUGUUGAAUAUGUCUAUUCCAAUGUUGCCCUCUGGAACUGGGGAUACAGCCACAGGGUGGGUUUAGGGAUACACUGGAUUCACUAUGGAACACGUGAGCUCAAACUCCACCAAUCACCUUGCCUCUAGCAGCCACUACUCUGACUGGAGGGCCACAGUGACGUUUCGGGUCUCCUGGAAUUAAUGUCAGUUCAUACCCCAUUUCCAGUAAUGCCCAAAUUAUCUGAUUAUUUUCCCCAAGGCUCCAUUGCCAUUGUAAAAGGCUGCAGGUCCCUUUAACCAAAGUCCAGGAGAAAGAUUAAGAGUAUAUAUUCUUGGUAGUGUACCAGGGACAGUGCCCUCACGGGAACCCUGCCUGGGAUCCCUUUAAUUCAGGGGAUUCUGGCUCUAUGAACUGACUCAGUGCUAGCCAUUGAUUGAGAGACUGUGGCUCUCUGCUUUUAUGAUUUGGGUUGACUUUUGUUCACUUGACAUAGAAAUUUUCUGCUUAUACAGAUCAAGUGAGAAUUUAGUAGGUUUCCUAUCUAUCUCCCUUGUUAGAAUGCCGUGAUCAACUAGCCAACACCAUAAGUCUGCGGGACUAUUCCGAUCGCUGGUUUGACUUUGCUGUCCAUCAUGGUAACCAAACCCACCUUGCCUUUGGUGGCUGAGUUCCUCUACUUGGCCCCUGUCUCUCUGGGGGCCAAGAGGUAGGGGCCAAAUUACUCCCAUUACAUUUAGAUUUUUUAAAAUUCAGCAGUUCCACUGUAGGUUCCAGCUUCCAGAGAAGAGAAAUCACAGAGCUCCUCAAGGAUGCCAGAGCUCCCUUUGCAAUAUUGUUGAAAGAUACAUCUUCUGAUGCUUCCAAUGUGGGUUACUAGGUUUGAUACAUGCAUGGUAACAUUACAGUCUUCCUAAGCCUUUAAGUUAAUUCCUCUGCAGCAAACCAAGGCAUGUCUGGCAUUUUGAGUUUAUUUACUGCAGGCCAGCUUUUGCUCCAUGUUUCAGCCAAUCAACCAGACAAACUGGUAGAAUCAUUUCCGGUUCUCCAAGAUGCAACAUUAAAUGUGCAAUCUCUGUUUAGUGAGCUUAUAUAUAUAAAUUCGGUCCGACUCAACUUUAUGUUCUUUUCACCAUUAUCCUAAACCCUUAAUAUCCACUCUGACACGUGUUCCUCAGACUUCUGUAUGGAUAAAUUAGAAAAAUAAAUAAAUUACUUUGGAGUGUAGCACAACUUCUCAUGAGCCACACUUUGUAACACACUUUUCAGGGCCUGCGAGACUUGAAUCUAGUUAUAGGUCUAGAAGCAAAGAGGGUUGGUCAGGAUGUAUCCUAAGGAGAAUCAGCAUAGCCUUGCAUGGCAACUGCCUCAGGGGAGGCCAGUAUUGUUUCCUCAGACAGUACAGGGUUAAUCUCCUCCCUUGCAGAUAGAGAGGAUGCUUCUAUUGGCAAAGAAGACUCAUUCAAAGUUAGGGGCUUGAUAUCCUCAGCUGUAUCAGGGUCUUAAUAUACAUCCUCAUUCCAUCUUUCAAGAUCUCACCCAUUCCUGACCAAUGGCAUUACUUGAACAGUAGAUACCCUGUGAGGCUGGGGACUCCGCUUGAAUUGUAAUACAGCCACUUCAAGGAUGAGAUUCUCGGUUUGAUUUUCAGCAAUCUCACCCCUACAGCUACAGAUGAUAAGAGUCUCUUUCAGGGCACACAUAGAAACCUCAGAUAUUUAUGUAGUGGUGCUUGAACUGGAAAUUCUAAUCUCUGGGCUCAUCUUUUUCUUUACCUCUUUAUCCAAUGACAAAACAGCCACACAUACUAUACUUAAUAGUUUGACAACAAUCUUCAAAGGUGUAUGCAAGGCCACCCAGAUUCUCGUUCCUUAUAAGUGUAGGAUUAGGAGCAUCUAGUGGUGUACCCCUAAUGCCACAUCAUGCCACGGACUAUCACAGACUUCCUUCCUUCCUUCUUCCUUCCUUCCUUUCUUCCUUUCUCUUUCUUUCUCUUUCUGUUUCUGUCAUACUGUCUUAAUGUCUUUAAAUCUAAUCAGACAGCCAGUUCCAUAAACCUCAGAAACAGUAGACAAAACAUAUUAAGAUUCAGUUCAUCUAGAAUCAUUCCUAUGAUCAAAUUAUGUAUUUGUAAGUGUUCUCCAGAGAAACAGAACCGAUAUAUGUACAUAUGUGCAUAUCUAUAUCUACUUAUCUUGCUAUCUAGGAAUGGGUUCAUGUAAUUGUUGGCACUUGGUGAGUCCAAAAUCUGCAGGACAAACAGCCUGAAGACUUGGGGAAGAGUUUCAGCUCCAGUCAGCCAAACAACCUGCUUGCAAAAUUUUUUACUAUUCUGUGGAGCACAUUACUUCUUUUCCUUCUCACAAUGCACUUAUUAUCUUUUAACACAAUGCAUACUCUAUCUAUUAUUUAUUGUGUGUAAUGUCCACUUUUCUUGACUACAAUAUUGACUUAAUACAGGCAGGCUCUUUGGAAGUUUUCAUGUCCUUUAUUCUGAGACAUCUCAUACACCAUGUUUGACACAGAUCAGAUACUUCACAUGUGCCUAUGGAAACAGGGAAUAAAAGUUUCUCCACUCCUGCCAAGUUCAUUUCUAUCACAGAGACAAUUUGUUCCAACUUGAUUCUUUUCUUCUCCCUUCCAGGCAGCCUUUUGUACAAAGUUCUCAGAAUAGAAAAAGAAUAACAUUCAGGAGGCAAGACCCCAAGGUUGGGAAGAAACACAUCCAGACUCAUUGCCUCCUCCUUCAUCUCAGUUCUUAGACAUCAGGGUCCUCAUCUGAUAUCUUAUUUCCAUGUGGUUUCUCCAAGAAUUUCAGAGAUGUUUCUUUCUUUCUUUCU